ACAACAGUCCAUCUGAAAUGCUGCUACUAUUUGUUUAAAAAUUGAGCUUAUGUAAAACUUGGAAAUAGAUAACACACCCACUUGAGUGCAGACUACAUUUUGUUCAGAGACUGUCUUGAAACAAAGUUGACAACUUGGAAACUGGAGUUUCGAAGGAAGGAAACUAAGUCAGAACCAAAUAUGACAACAAACAUAUUAAUGGAUUUGCUGAAAAUACCGGAGAAAUAUCACUUUAUUCAGCAAUUCAACCAGAGCGUCAUCUUUGCUUCACAAAGAACCAAAGAAUACAUUGGAUUCAAGGACCCUGAGUCCAAACUGAAGGUAAAUAAUUCUAUGUUGACUGAUAUUUUCCUGAUGACCUACAUUAACCGAAGCAUUCAGUGUAAGCUGACAGAAUCAAUCAGUUGUACAAAGAUGACUGAAGAGCAGACAAUCCUUUUGGGUACAGAUUGGGUUUGGGCUGUGCAGGACGCAUCUUCCAAAAACCCCAAGGUGCAGAUUGCAGUGCAAGCCAUUCACAUGGAGAAGAAAGAAGACCAAGCAAUGAAGAUGAGAUUUCAGGCGACUGAGUCCUUGAAGCUGGCAAGACAAGAGACAAUCAACAAAACCGACCCUGAGAAAUUCAGCGAUUUCUGUUCAUCGAUUGGGAAAGACUGUUACGGACUAUUUCUUUUCUUUGGGCUCAAGGGUGACCCGAAGACCAUCUGUGGCAUCCUGAGCAAUGACUUCCACGCACACUUGGGAAGUGGCCAAGAAGUUGAUAACACUUCCUUGCUGGAUUGCAUUGAGAAAGCUAAGACUUUUGUCACUCCAGGAAGAAUGUUGGAGCUGAUCCUUCAGAAAGGAGGUGUACCAGACAGCUUAAAGCCAAUCUGUGUCAAGUUUACACAAUAAACUACACCCAGGAUAACUUUUAACAGUUUGCAAAACUUUCCAACAAAAGAAAGCAAACCUCUUCAUUAUCACUUCAGAAAGUAGAACUUUCCAACAUAGUUACCCACUGUUUUAGAAAUGCUUCAUGCCUAUCCAUGGAACUCCCAUCGACUAAUUCCUGUAGACAAGGGGAGCUUUUAUUCCACACUCAUUCUUAAGAUUAGAAGUAGUAGAAUCAUAGAAUUUGAAAAAGAAGAAGGAGGCUAUUCAUCUCUUGAGUUUAUGUCAGUUCAUUUGAAGUGUAAUCCAGUUCCCAAAAGCAAAAAUGGUGAAUAACUCAUAAAAUCCCUACAGUGUGGAGCAGGUCAUUCAGCCCAACAAGUCCACACUGCCCCUCCAAAGAGCUUUCCACCCAGAAACAUUCCCCGAACCCUGCAUUUCCCCUGUCUAACCCACCUACACCCAAACAUCCCUGGGCACUCUGGGCAAUUUUAGCAUAGCCAAUCCACCGAGCCUGCACAUCUUUGGACACCGCGGCACCCAGAUGAAACCCAUGCAGACACAGGGAGAAUAUGCAAACCCCACAUAGACAGUUGCCUGAGGCUGGAAUCGAACCUGGGUCCCUAGUGCUGUGAUGCAGCAUUGCUAACCACUGAGCAACCAUGCCGACCCUUUUUAAAACAAAUCUUGCCUUGCGUACUUUAAAAUGGACGUCCAGUACUGGAACAAAUUUUAAAUAUGGAACUAUCAAUACUGGUUUUACACUGGUUUUCCCCUCUUGAGUUAAUGUCAUUCCUGGGAAUUUUUUCCCAUAUCCCUGCAAGUAUUUCACCUUAAUAUUUGUCCAGUACCCUCUCUCAAAGAUUUUGUUCAAACAACAUUCACCGUCUACCAUUAACUAACUAUUUCUAAUCCUAAUUAAUUAACACAUAUUGAAGAUGUCCCUCAUGUCACCCAUUCUUAUUUUGUCAGUCACUUUAAAUUGCUGUGUCUGGAAACAGACAAAUGGAAACAGUUUCUCUUUAUUUACUCCAUCUAAACAUCAGAACAGAGGAUGAAUCUCUAAAUUCAAAUACCUCCAUUAAAUCUCCUCUUAGCCAUCUCUGCUCUAAGGAGAACUUUAAGUGGCAGUGUGCUUCAUUUUCAGAGUCUGUAAAUAUGUGGGGCAUCAUGUGACAGCAAGUGCCUGGCAAGAGAGACUAGAAGUGUAAGAUGAGCUGUAUGGACUUCCUCAUUCCCCUGGGGGUGGAAACAGAAUCAGACCUGCCUUUCAAAAAGGAACUGGAUAAAUACUUGAAAGGAAAGAAGAUGCAGGGCUAUGAAGGAAAGAUCAGGAAUUGAUGGAACUGAUUGAAUUGCACUUUCAAAGAACUGGCACAGACACAAUGGGGCCAAAUGGACUCCUCCACUGUAUCAUUCUAUGACCACAGAUCACUCCGCCCUGAACGUACCUGAUUUAAAAAUUGAACGUGUUUAUAUUCAAAGUAUGAAAAAGAUGUUUGAGAAACUUAAGCACAACAGAGACUCAAUGAUAUGAAUUAAUGAUAUAGGGUCUGCUGCAUCAUUUGUUAAGAUCAUGUUUGAUAAGAUUGUGAUCUCAAAACCAUAUUGCUGCCUUCCUCCCUGCCAAACCCACCCUAAAUAACACAUGACUCACCUGCCCACAAAAACUUGUUUUAAAGUAUUCUCCGUCUGACCUUUCAGUUUGGUUUCUGCAUUUUGAAUUUUCUCAUCCUCUAUUUUGGUGAUGGUCUUUCCAGAUCCCUGGUGCCCUUUUUGUUUUUUGGCAACAGAGUUUGUGGCUCUGGUAAUUGUCCUUAAAGAAGCCUCAGCAAGUUGCUGCAGCACAUCUUGUAGAUUGUAGUGAACACACUGCUGCUCGUGAAUAAAACUUUAGGACACUGAUCAGUUCCAGAAUAAACACCAAGGGCCAGAAUUUAGCCUUCACUGCCUGUGAAGUAACUUAGCAAAACAGAUCACCUAAUAUUUAUGAGUCACCUUAAAUGAGCACCAUAUCACCAUCUACAGUUUAAAGAUGAAAAAUUGACAUCUGGAAGUAAUUAUGAUAUGAUAAAAACAGUUAAUGUUUCGGGUCUGGUGAUCCUUCCUCAGUGUUCUGGUUUGCUGAACAGGAAACGUUACCUCUGAUUUUUCUUUACAGAUGCUGCCAGACCUGCUGAGCUUUUCCAGCAACUUUUGUUUUGCUUCCUGACCAACACUGUCUGCAGUCCUUUCGGUUUUUAUACGGAAUUACAGCACAAGUAAAAACCAUUCAGCCAGCUGACUCAGAGACGUCUCAUCAAUUGGAGCCACCUCCUCAAAUCCCAUUUCUAAUCCUGUUCCAAGUGAAAUACAAAAGAAUAUACAUUCUCACCCGUCAAGACAAGACUGGAGAAAGCAGAGUUGGUCUCUUCAAGAUUAGAAAACUUAAAGGGGGAGGUUUGUGGCAGUGUUAAAAAUCAUGAAAGGUUUUGAUAGACUGAAUGAGGAGAAACUCAAUCGAGUGGGAAGAGAGUCAGCAACCAGAUGAUACAAUUAAAGAUAACUGACAGAAGAACCAUAGGAGCUACAAGGGUUGUUUUUUCACCACAGUGGUAACACUGUGGAGCUGGAAGAA